CCCUGGUAGUCCACGCCGUAAACGUUGGGAACUAGAUGUGGGGACCAUUCCACGGUCUCCGUGUCGCAGCUAACGCAUUAAGUUCCCCGCCUGGGGAGUACGGCCGCAAGGCUAAAACUCAAAGGAAUUGACGGGGGCCCGCACAAGCGGCGGAGCAUGCGGAUUAAUUCGAUGCAACGCGAAGAACCUUACCAAGGCUUGACAUAUACGAGAACGGGCUAGAAAUAGUCAACUCUUUGGACACUCGUAAACAGGUGGUGCAUGGUUGUCGUCAGCUCGUGUCGUGAGAUGUUGGGUUAAGUCCCGCAACGAGCGCAACCCUCGUUCUAUGUUGCCAGCACGUAAUGGUGGGAACUCAUAGGAGACUGCCGGGGUCAACUCGGAGGAAGGUGGGGAUGACGUCAAAUCAUCAUGCCCCUUAUGUCUUGGGCUUCACGCAUGCUACAAUGGCCGGUACAAAGGGCUGCAAUACCGUAAGGUGGAGCGAAUCCCAAAAAGCCGGUCUCAGUUCGGAUUGAGGUCUGCAACUCGACCUCAUGAAGUCGGAGUCGCUAGUAAUCGUGGAUCAGCAACGCCACGGUGAAUACGUUCCCGGGCCUUGUACACACCGCCCGUCAAGUCAUGAAAGUCGGUAACACCCGAAGCCGGUGGCCCAACCCUUGUGGAGGGAGCCGUCGAAGGUGGGAUCGGUGAUUAGGACUAAGU
rnacentral:rRNA from 1 species